rnacentral:rRNA from 1 species
UACAGAGGUCCCGAGCGUUGUUCGGAUUCAUUGGGCGUAAAGGGUGCGUAGGCGGCGGGGUAAGUUUGAUGUGAAAUCCCGGGGCUCAACCCUGGAAUUGCAUUGAAUACUACCUUGCUAGAGUACCGGAGAGGAAACUGGAAUUUACGGUGUAGCAGUGAAAUGCGUAGAUAUCGUAAGGAAGACCAGUGGCGAAGGCGGGUCUCUGGACAGUUCCUGACGCUGAGGCACGAAGGUCAGGGGAGCAAACGGG